rnacentral:RNase_P_RNA from 1 species
CCAGUCGGCCGGACGGCCGCGAGCGCUACACUCGAAAGGGUGCGUUCGAGGAAAGUCCGGGCUCCACGCGGAUACGGCGGCGGGUAACGCCCGCCGAGAGUGAUCUUAGGGAUAGCGCCACAGAGAAUAGUCUGCCGAAAGCGUCUUGGUCUUCGGACUAUGGACGCAGGCGAUGGUGAAACGGUGGAGUAAGAGCCCACCGCCGCGACCGUAAGGAAGCGGGCACGGCAAGCCCCGCCGGGAGCAAGACCGAAUAGGAGCACGCGUCACGCAAGUGACAGAUCCGUCCGCGGAUUGUGUUCGGGUUGGUCGCGAGAACCGUGUGGCGACACACGGUCCAGAGGAAUGGUCGUCACCUCGCAAGAGGAACAGAACCCGGCUUACAGGCCGACUGGCACU